rnacentral:rRNA from 1 species
GUCUACAGCCAUGCCACCCUGAACUCGCCUGAUCCUGUCUGAUCUCAGAAGCUAAGCAGGGUUGGGCCUGGUUAGUACUUGAAUGAGAGACCACCUAGGAAUACCAGGUGCUGUAGGUG